CCCCUUACUAGUCACAUAUCAAAUCCUGGCUCACCCCCUUACUAGUCACAUAUCAAAUCCUGGCUCACUCGUCACUAGUCACAUAUCAAAUCCUGGCUGGCUCACCCCUUACUAGCCACAUAUCAAAUCCUGGCUGACCCCUCCACUAGGCACAUACCGAAUCCUGGCUCACCCCUCAUUAGUCACAUAUUGAAUCCCAGCUCACCCCUUACUAGUCACAUGUCAAAUCCUGGCUCACCCCUCACUAGUCACAUAUCAAAUCCUGGCUGACCCCCUUACUAGUCACGUAUCGAAUCCUGGCUGACCCCCUGACUAGUCACAUAUCAAAUCCUGGCUCGCCCCUCAGUAGCCACAUAUCAAAUCCUGGCUCACUCCUCACUACUCACAUAUCGAAUCCUGGCUCACCCCUCACUAGCCACAUAUCAAAUCCUGGCUCGCCCCCUUACUAGUCACGUAUCGAAUCCUGGCUCGUCACGUAUCGAAUCCUGGCUCGCCCCCUUACUAGUCACAUACCAAAUCCUGGCUCGUCCCCUUACUAGUCACAUACCAAAUCCUGGCUGACCCCUUACGAGUCACAUAUCGAAUCCUGGCUCACCCCUCACUAGUCACAUAUCAAAUCCUGGCUUGUCCCCUUGCUAGUCACGUAUCAAAUCCUGGCCGACCCCUUACUAGUCCCAUAUGAAAUCCUGGCUGACCCCUCACUAGUC
rnacentral:lncRNA from 1 species